rnacentral:lncRNA from 1 species
GUUCUGGAUUUGGGAACAGAUAGGAAGAGGAGGACUUUGAGACUUUAACUUGUUUAGUACUUCAUUGUACAGUGAAAUUCUCUAUUGCUUCCUGUUUGGAAGAAAUCAUCUAUAAAAAUAACAUCUGGGUUCUGGAUUUGGGAACAGAUAGGAAGAGGAGGACUUUGAGACUUUAACUUGUUUAGUACU